rnacentral:lncRNA from 1 species
CACUGGAUGAAUCACCCAUGAUUCUGAUCUCGGAUAAUCUAAUCCUCGGCGCUCAAAUAUCACAAGAUUUAAGAUGCUAUUUUCAGUGAUUAAAGAUUUUUGUUACCUAUAAAUAAUUUAUUUGAUAUGAUAUAAAAAUUUAAAAUUAUUAAUCACAUAAUAUCAAAAUUAUUACUGAAUUGAGGAUGGCCCAGACGGGCACCACUUAUAUACGGCA